rnacentral:rRNA from 1 species
AGAGUUUGAUCCUGGCUCAGAACGAACGCUGGCGGCAUGCCUAACACAUGCAAGUCGAACGAGACCUUUGGGUCUAGUGGCGCACGGGUGCGUAACGCGUGGGAAUCUGCCCUUUGCUGCGGAAUACCUCGGAGAAAUCCGUGCUAAUACCGCAUAAUGACUUCGGUCCAAAGAUUUAUCGGCAAAGGAUGAGCCCGCGUACGAUUAGCUUGUUGGUGAGGUAAAGGCUCACCAAGGCGACGAUCCUUAGCUGGUCUGAGAGGAUGAUCAGCCACACUGGGACUGAGACACGGCCCAGACUCCUACGGGAGGCAGCAGUGGGGAAUAUUGGACAAUGGGCGAAAGCCUGAUCCAGCAAUGCCGCGUGAGUGAUGAAGGCCUUAGGGUUGUAAAGCUCUUUUACCCGGGAUGAUAAUGACAGUACCGGGAGAAUAAGCUCCGGCUAACUCCGUGCCAGCAGCCGCGGUAAUAC